rnacentral:lncRNA from 1 species
CCGGCCCGUCAGACGCUGAUGCUUUCGCCUGGAGGCUCUUCCUCGGCGGGCUUCUCCCUCAUCCCGCGAAGCCUCCUCGUCCUUGCUGUUUCUCUGCCCUUCUUAAAGCCUGGGAAAACCUAGUCCUCCUCUCUUCUCGUCCUGUUCUUUCGCUCUUUUUUUUUUUUUUUUCCCUUUCCUUUUUCUUUUCUUCUUGAUAAUUAUGUCUUUCAGUCCUGGAUUUAAGACCUUGAUUGAUUUAUUCCGCCCACUCCUUUCCUCCCCACCACUUUUCUUCUGGCCUCCUAAAGUCUGAUCUCACACGUUUCAAGGUCUAUUCCUAGAAACACCACUUUCAUUGUCUUGGCAAGAUGGCUCUAGAAGUCCUCAGUGUGACUUCAGUAAGUGAUUUGUACUGGUUUCUAGCCACAUCUCUACUUAGCAAAAGUAUUAUAAAACUACUAAAAUGGGAAUCCCAGUAGUACAGAUAAGGAAGGCUGAAACAAGGGGAAGCCAAAAGUUUCCAAGUGAGUUUAGUUUUGAUACGAGAAGGUCUGUUAAUUCAUCAUAACAUCCACUACACUGACGCCACAGUGCCAUUUAUUUCUCUGCUCCCCACUCACAGCCUGUGUCCCAGCACUACGGCUAUGGACACACCGUGGCUCUUUGCUUGUGCCUGACCUAACGAGCCCCGUAGGACCUGGAGCUCUAUGGAGCAGUUUGGACUCGCACCAGACUACCAGUUCUUGCCUGCCAGCUUUGGACACCAUGUUUCUCUUUGAGUGUUCAAAGCCUGUGUCCUCCUGAGGCAGUAUCCUGUGUGAAUACUGCAUUCUGAAGGACAGGUCUCAGAUAAUGCCCUUCAGGUAGGAUGCAUGCCAGGAAAAGGAACACAACUUCAGCUCCUGCAAAUCUAUCACUAAUUCUGCCUGUUGGGUGAUGACAGUUGGGGUAAUGUUUUUAAAGACAUUCCUCACUAAUUGUAAUCCCACUAUCUGACUGAAGAAAGGUGGUUGAAUACUGUGUUCUUACACAUUUCUGCCCAUGAAACUAAUAUAACCUUUUCUGCAAACUAACACAUCUCUUCCUCUGGUUUCUUUAUCUGUAACUAUUGUGGAAACAAAAAACUAUAAAACACCAUUCUCUCAGUUUUAGAAGAUCCGAGCAAAGGCUGCAGGAAACUUGUCACAGACUCGAUGUCAGACAUAAAAGUAUAGAUAGCUAUGCUGUUCACCUGAAAGCAAGACAAUUUUG